CGUCAUUUGCUCUAUCUAGAAAUCUCCGAUGGAGUCCCGUCGCUCUAUCUUCGUCUACCGAUCUCUUCCGUGGCCGUCGGCCUUGUGUAGGUUCUCCAACGCCGUAGUCCUCACGGAGCCGCUCCCGCCGUCCCCCGUCGCGGCCGUGGCAAUCCUCCUAGAUGGUGGCCCUCGAACCGGCUGUCUGGUUCGGCGGGUGGGCGCACGCCGGUGAACAGUGGUGGCCGCUGCUUCGAGUCGGGGACACUGCCUUGCCUUGGGGGGCUGCACCGCCGCAACCGACAACUACGAUGUUGUCGGUAUGGCGGAGCGCAGAUGAUGGUGGUAGCGGAGAAAUCCAGCAGCCGGAGCGGGGAAGAGGCUCAUGGACGAAGGGGAUCCCCGUGGCGGCGGUCCUCACGUGCUGCUCCCUGGGCGGCUAUUCAUCGGGCCAUGCCAUGGGGAUACAGUGGGAGAAGCAGUGGGAGGUGCCGACCCGCUGCCACGGCCUCCUUCGCGGCUGUCGGCCAUGGCCUCGGUCGCGCCCGAUUUCUCCCCGCUCAGAUUUUGCGAAAUUAUCCCCGCCUGAGUUCUCCCCGGCCGUGAGAUCUGCCUGACUCCUCCGUGGCCAGCAGCUGUGGUUCGUUCAGGCUCAACGACCGACGGUGCUCUGCAUGGUGGAUAGAAUUGGUGCCUUGGUUCGUCGUUUCCGAUCGUCCGGCCAGAGCUCCCGUGCGCUGCCCCGCACCGCCGUUGGUUCAUAGGUUGCUGCAACAGGCUGUCUGUCCCACACGCCCUCCCAAUCCUCGGUUGGUUUCCUGCCCUGUCUUGCUCCCCUUUCUCAUCUCUUUGAUUUUAUCACAUUUGCAUCUGUGUGAUGAUUGGCCUUAACUAGACUAUGCAUUUGUUUUGUAGGAUCCAUCGUUUUAUUUUGUAGUGGCCGUUACAUUUAUUA